rnacentral:rRNA from 1 species
AGGAGUGGGGGCGUGGCUAUACAUGCAGUCGAGCGGACCGACGGGAGCUUGCUCCCUUAGGUCAGCGGCGGACGGGUGAGUAACACGUGGGUAACCUGCCUGUAAGACUGGGAUAACUCCGGGAAACCGGGGCUAAUACCGGAUGCUUGAUUGAACCGCAUGGUUCAAUCAUAAAAGGUGGCUUUUAGCUACCACUUACAGAUGGACCCGCGGCGCAUUAGCUAGUUGGUGAGGUAACGGCUCACCAAGGCGACGAUGCGUAGCCGACCUGAGAGGGUGAUCGGCCACACUGGGACUGAGACACGGCCCAGACUCCUACGGGAGGCAGCAGUAGGGAAUCUUCCGCAAUGGACGAAAGUCUGACGGAGCAACGCCGCGUGAGUGAUGAAGGUUUUCGGAUCGUAAAACUCUGUUGUUAGGGAAGAAAAGUACCCGUUUGAAUAGGGGCGGCCCUUGGACGGGUACCUAACCAAAAGGCCCGGGUUACCUAAGUGCCAGCACCGGGGGUAUUCCGUAGGUGGGCAAGCUUGUCCCGAAUUUAAUGGGCCUAAAACCCCCCCGCAAGGGGUUUCUAUAAUCUGAAGUGAAAACCCCCGGCUCCAACCGCGCGAGGGCAGUUGGGAAAAUGUGGGGACUUUGAGGGCAAAAAGAGGGAGGAGAGACAUCUCCUGGUUUACUGGGUACAA